GGCAGCUAUAGUUUCAAUGCUCCUAGGUCCUUUUGUUCCUUGUGCUAUAUUUGUUGCAUGCAUGUGGUUUUUCAAAGCAAUUUUGCUAGUUUAUGCGGGUCUAUUUGAUGGUGCUCGGUUUCAUGGAGAGGACACGAGAGAAAAAAAAGAUCAUUUCUUGGUCCUUACCAUCGUCUGAGCCUGUUCGCUAACUAAGUUUAGAGCUCUGAUUUCUUUCCUAAUUUAAACACCGUAAGUAGAUUUUGCAUACUACUAGAGUAUGGGUGUCGUCUUCAGUCUAGCUUGUUCUCGAUCUGCUUUGGCUGGCCGUGCUCGACAUCCAGGAGGAGGGCUUUGCUGCUCCAGUGGUUGUUGGGCUUGCUGUUUUCCCAUGGUGAUGCUUCUUUUGAGUUUGAUGGGUUUCCAACUGCUUCCUCGAUGCUCUUGGGUUGUUUUCUAAGAGACCUCCUCUUCAGGCAUCUUCAAUCAUUUUAAUCCCCCUGGCGAUGCUUAAUCAGUCGGUAAUCUUACUCACCAGUGUUCACAUAAAUGCGAUGUUCUCAAUGUGUUUCCUGUGGUUCACUCUUUGCAGCACAAACUGAAUAGUCAACCGGGCUAUGAGUUUUGAGUCGCUUUCCAUGUUCUGUUAGGGUUUCAUAUGUAAUGGGUUGGGCUUUCAUAGGGCAGAACUUAGUUCUUUAGCUGAAAGCUUGUUUUUU
rnacentral:misc_RNA from 1 species